rnacentral:lncRNA from 1 species
GUUCACUCCAUGUGUGAGUUUGACAGAUGGGUCAGUGAGAAAAUCCGCUUAGCAACUUUCUGCUGAUGGAGGUUCACUGAAUAAAGCUCACACACUUUCUCAUUACUAGCUUCGAGUCACCGCACUGAGGCCUCGCUUGCUUUUAUUCAACUUUAUCGGAUACACUUUCAAGAUAAAGGACAUGUCUGCCGAAAAGAUUCCUGUACAUAAUAGCCUAAAUAUCUUUCAUGUAUAACAUCUUCCACAUCAGACAGAUUGAAGCCCAAAAAGAAGAAGCCCGAGUCGACUCCAGCAGAGACCAACGGGACCGAAGCCAAACCCAAAAAGACCAAGAGCAAGAAGAGCGGCGAUAGCUACCCGGCCACUCAGAAUGGAGAGAAGGUGAAGAAGAAGAAACUGGAGAAGGACAAAGAAUCAACAGAGAAGGAGAAGGAAAUCAAAAAGAAAGCGAAAAGUGCUCCAAAGAAGAAGAAGAGUAAGUGACCCAGUUUUUUUUGUGUCAUUUAUAUGAUUUAUAUUAUUAUAUUAAAU